rnacentral:rRNA from 1 species
CGGGACAGGUGAGUAAUGUCUGGGAAACUGCCCGAUGGAGGGGGAUAACUACUGGAAACGGUAGCUAAUACCGCAUAACGUCGCAAGACCAAAGAGGGGGACCUCCGGGCCUCGCGCCAUCAGAUGAACCCAUAUGGGAUUAGCUAGUAGGUAAGGUAACGGCUUACCUAGGCGACGAUCCCUAGCUGGUCUGAGAGGAUGAUCAGCCACACUGGGACUGAGACACGGCCCAG